rnacentral:lncRNA from 1 species
CUCCCUACAUCCUUUUCCUCAAAGGCAGUCAACCCUAGCUAGCUAUUUGUUACAAGAUGAAGCAUAUUUCCUUAAAUUAAGAUUACAGUGUCGAAUAUGUUUGAAAGAAAUGGAGUGUUUAGAACAUUGUGACUUUAAACCAGAAACACAUCCUAAAAUUGUCACUUUUGGUUUCAGCAGUCUUAUUGAGAUAUAUCUGACAUCUAGUCUGGAGUUCUCUUUUGGCACAGCAGGUUAAGGAUCAUCACUGCAGCAGCUUGGAACCCUGCUGUGGCACUGGUUCAAUUCCUGGCGCAGGAAAUUCCACAUUCUCCAGAAUUUUGAGGGGGUGUGCCAAAAAAAUUAACAUCCAAUCAGGUGUAUAUGUGGAAAGUCUAUAUGUGCACACCCAUGAAACCAUCACUAUACUCAAGAUAUUGAACAUAUCCAUAAUGCUGAAAAGUUUUCUCAUGCCUCUUUGUAUCCCUCCAUUCUCUCUCUCUCUCCCUUUCUAUUUCAGGCAAACACUGCUCUGCUUUUGGUCACUUCAGAUUAGUUUGCACUUUGUAGAAUUAUAUGUAAAUAUAAUAAGACAGUAUGAACUCUGUUUUUGUUUAGUCUUUUUUCACUCAAUGUGAUUGAGACCUGUCCAUGUUAUUACAUGUAUCCUCAGUUUAUUCAUUUUGUUGCUAAAUAGUAUUACACUGUAUGACUAUAGCAUAAUUUAUUUAUCCAUUAGCCUGCUGAUGUAUAUUUAGACUGUUUUCAUUUUGGAAUUAUUGCAGAUAAAGAUGCCCAGAAAAUCUGUGUACAAGUCACCACAUUCACAUGUUUCUUGGGAAAAUAUUUAAAAAUGAAAUGGCUGAAUCAUUUGGAAAGUUUAUGUUUAACUUUUUAGUAAACUGCCAAACUGUUUUCCAAAGUGGUUUUACCAUUUUACAUUCCUACUGGUGGUGUUUGAGAAUUCCAGUUGCUCUGCCUUAUUCAUAACACUUGCUAUUGUCUGUCUUUUAAAUGUUAUCUGUUCAAAUAUGUGUAUGGUGGUAUCUGACUGUGGUUUUAGUUUGCAUUUUCCUAGUCAAGAUGUUGACCAUCUUUUCAUGAACUGAACCUAUAUCCUUAAAUCUUCUUUAUCAUAGUGUUUUUCAUGAUUUUAUUUGCCAUCUGUAUAUCUUGCAUGGUGGAGUAAAUGUAUAUUCAAAUCUUUACUCAUUUCUUUUUUUGCUUCUUGUGAUAUAUCAUUUUGCAGGUCUUCACUGCAAAACUUUAUUUUUUCCAUUUUAUUAUGUUGAUUUACAAUGUUGUACCAAUUUCAGUUGUACAGCAAAGUGACUCGUAUAUAUAUACACACACACACACAUAUACACACAUAUAUAUGUGUAUAUAUAUAUAUAUACAUUCUUUUUUAAUAUAUAUGCUAUUUUCCAUCAUGGUCUAUUUGAUGUAGUUCUCUGUGCUAUACAGCAGGACCUUAUUGUCUAUCCAUUCUAUAUGUAAUGGUUUGCAUCUAUUAACCCCAAACUCCCAGUCAUCCCACUUCCUCCCUCUCUCUUGGCAAUCACAAGUCUGGUUUCCAUGUCUGUGAGUCUUUUUCUGUUUUGUGAUAGGUUCCUUAUACCAUAUUUUAUUUUAUUUUAUUUUUUAAGUUUUUAAAUUAUAGUUAUUUACAAUGUUCUGUCAAAUUCUGCUGUACAGCAAAUUGACCCAGUCAUAUAUAUAUACACAUCCUUUUUCUCAUAUUAUCUUCCAUCAUAUUCUAUCACAAGUGAUUGGAUGUAGUUCCCUGCACUAUACAGCAAGACCUCAUUGUUUAUCCAUUUUAUGUGUAAUAGUUUGCAUCUACUAACUUCAAACUCCCAGUCCAUCCCACUCCCUUCCCCUCCCCCUUAGCAACCACAAGUCUGUUCUCUAUGUCUGUAAGUCUGUUUCUGUUCAUUUGUGCCGUAUUUUAGAUUCCACGUAUAAGUGCUAUGUCCUCCUCUUUCUGACUUACUUCACUUAGUAUGAUAGUCUCUAGUUGCAUCCAUGUUGCUGCAAGUUGCAUAUUUCAUUCUCUUUUAAGGCUGAGUAGUAUUCCAUAGUAUGUAUGUACCACAUCUUAAUCCAUUCCUGUGUCACUGUACAUUUAGGUAAUUUUCAUGUCCUGGCUAUUGUGAGUGGUGAUGCAAUGAACAUAGGAAUACAUGUAUCUUUUUGAAUUAUAGUUUUGUUUGGAUAUAUACCCAGGAGUAGGAUUGCUGGAUCAUAUGGUAGUUCCAUAUUUAGUUUUCUGAGGAACCUCCAUACUGUUUUCCAUAGUGGUUGUACCAAUUACUGCUCAUUUCUUUUUAAGUUUCUUAUUGAUUUUUGAGAGUAGUAUAUAUAUUCUGUACAUAAGUCUUUUGUCAGCUAUGUGAAUCAUAAGUAUUGUCUUUCUUUGGCUUAUCUUUUCACUCUUUUAACAGUUAAAAGCCACUCCUUUAACUUUUAAACACCACUCUUUUCACCUUUGAAAGAGUGAAAAGUGCCUUUUUAAGAAAAGAAGUUUUUAAUUGUGAUAAAAUUCAAAUAAUCAAUUUGAUGUUUUUUUGAUCCAGGUUUUGGUAUUGUAUCCAAGAAAUCUUUGUCUAAGUCAAGGGCACAAAGAUUUUCAUCUUUUUUUUUUUUUUUUCCCCAGAAGCUUUAUAGUUUUAUUUUUUACAUUUAAAUCAUGAUUCAAAUGAGUUAAUCUUUGUGUAUAGUGUUAGUAUGAAUUGAACUUUAUUUUUUCCUCUCACCUCAUCUGUUCCUUUCUCUCAAAUAUUGCUGUCCUUCAUUGCUUGAUUCACAGUGUCUUAAAAACCAUUGUUUUAUAUAUUUUUCCCAGUUGCUUUUUUGAUUCAGAUGUCAAGGUAAAUUUGGUUUCUCUUACUCUACCUUGGCCAGAAAGAACACUCAAAAGUUCACUUCUAACUACUGAACAUAGACUACAUUUUGUGAUUCAAAGUGACCUAUUAUUUGAGAGUGAGUUGAAAAUUUUUAAGAACCUACAUGAGUUUUUAUUCAAAGAUAGGACAAGGGAUACCCACACUAAAGAAAUUUAACAGGGCAGUAAGACUCAAAUAUGAAUAUCUGCUCUGAGUUCUCUGUGUUACAUGUAAGUUACAUAACCUUCAAUACUAGAAUACUUACUGUUUAUACGCUUUUAAGAGAAGUUGAUAUUUGAGGCCUUGGUUAAUUAAUGCUUGAAAAUUAGGAGAUGUUUUCCAUUAUGAUUUAUAUAAGUAAUAGAAGUCCUAAGAAUGGCCUUUCAAAUCCCUCUUUGUAUAUUUAGGAAGUCUCAAGAAUUCCUUGAACCAGUCAUGCCAGCAUUGGGAAAACUGUAUUUAAGUAUGUACUAAAUACAUUCUGAUAUAAUAAAUUUGACAUUAUUUCUUUGAAAGUGUAUAAUAUUGAAGAAAAUGUAAAUUAUAAUUUCAAAAAGCAUUUCCAAAAUUUAAUAUGACAUAAUAGUACCUAUUCUGUACUGAAUUGUUCUUACUUCCUGGCCAUUUUCUUUCUUUUUUUGGGCUUCCCACUUUGUUAAUUUUUCCUAUAUUUAAAUCAUAGAUUUAUAUCUAAUUCUAAAAGGCUGUAUGAAGAUCAUCUUAAAAGAAAUCCAUUUUAACUGUCAGUCAUAAGAUUAACCUACUUUUAUUAAUUCAACUUAUGAUUAAAUUAUGAGAAAAGUGAAAGACUAGAACUAGUUGGUUGAUAGGUCUGAGGUGAAUUAGAUGAGUCUGUCAGUUUGGGAAACUGAUAUCAAAGGAUAGUCCACAUUACUGUACUAAAAUUGAUUCUCUCCUGCUAUUUUUUUUAAAUCAUUUGACUUCCUCUGAAAAGUUUUUAGGUGAACUGGAGGUCUUUUUGGUUGACUUACAUAUUGAAUUUAAAGAAAGUUCUGAAUUGAAAUUUAGUGUCCUAAGCUCGGUGCACGCCCUAGUAUUAUUCACCUUGAUGAUUGAGAAAUGAAACACUUGAUACUUUGCAAUGAAGUGAAAAGACUAGAAGUUUUAGAGUUUGAAAAUAUUUCAGAAGAGAAAACAGUGGGUAGUAGAAAGAUUAAAACUUCCAAGUGCAAUGGAUUAUAAUUUUGUCAUACAUAAAGUAAGAUUUUGGUUUGGUUUUAGUUUUCAUAAAAAUAGAUGAUGAUGCAUCUGUUAAAUUCAGAUAUUAAUAUUAUGUAUUAACCUUUUAUAAAAAAAAGAAAUCAUGUUAUGCUUUUGUUAGACUUGUAUAUUCCUAAAUCAUGGUAUUUUUUGCAAUUUGUUCUGAAGUGUGGUCUCUGCAAUAGUGUGCCUAUGUAACACUGAAAAUAGAGGUUUCUUAUCUUUAACUGCAUUCUUCCCCAAUUAUGUUAGAAAACACAAAAAAUUGUUAACUUGUACUAUUUUGAAAUUUUAUCCAGAGACACCCAGGAGUAUGUAAUAUUUAAAACACUGAAAUAAUAUCUAUAGCAUGAAAGUAUGUUAAUCAUAAAAAUAAUAACUCUUUUAGAAUAAUCUCUGAAAAGUAUAUUAUAAAACUCAAAACACCAUGGGAGAAAAUUGGAUACCAGUCAUUUAACCAUUAUCUCAAUUAAGAGAAAGUAAAUGGUAAAAUUAAUGUGGCUAAUUCCUUGACCUGUCAAUUCUUUAAUACUGAGAUGCCUUAUAUAGGUCCAAAUCAAUAAAUUAAACUGUAAAAUCAGAAUGUCAAUCUUUAAAUCUUCUAAGGUCAUUUUGUCACUUCACUCAUUUCAAAAAUAUAUGUAACUGAAAUUUGAAUAUGCAUAUAAAUAAUCUGGGAAUCUUGUUAAAUGAUGGGAGAUUGCUCAAGCAUAAAUUUGAGAUUGUCACAUCAUCUUCAGAGAUUGCUAGACUUCCCUACUUACACAGCCUGAAUACAAAUAAAUAAAAACAAAAUGAACAAAGAAAAUACAUGAAAACAAAGAAAAAAUGAAUUUAAAAAGCAAUUGUGAGGUGGGAUCAAGAUGGUAGAGGAGUAAGACUUGGCAGUCACAUUCUCCCACAAACACAACAUAAAAAAAUACAAAUGUAGAAUGGUUCAAACAGAACAUCUACUGAACACUGGCAGAAGACUUUAAACCUCCAAAAAGGGCAAGAAACACUCCACAUAACUGG